rnacentral:tRNA from 3 species
UGCCCUCUAGCACAAUUGGAAGUGCGCCUGACUCUGGAUCAGGAGGUUCUAGGUUCGAGCCCUAGGGGGGCAGCCA